rnacentral:SRP_RNA from 1 species
GCCGAGCUCAGUCACGAGAGCUUGUCACCCAUGUGGGGGCAUUGAAGGUGGUGUGGAUAUUUGGUGCGAACUCUGGACCUGGGCCUGUGUUGUAACAUUCAUUGCUGGCCUGCCCGGUCCAAGUUGGUAGUUGGCUGGGGGGCUGAUGCGAAAGCUUCGGCCUCUCUGUCCCUGAAGUGGCAGGCACCGCGUUAGGCUGGAUUCACAGAGCAGCGCUCACUGUCCGCUUCCAACGGUGGAAGGAUAACAGGCCGCUGCACCAUGGGCCCGCUCUGGUUCCAGAGUUCUUCCAUAACAGACCACCAUCUUU